rnacentral:rRNA from 1 species
GAUGAACGCUGGCGGCGUGCCUAAUACAUGCAAGUCGAGCGAACAGACGAGGAGCUUGCUCCUCUGACGUUAGCGGCGGACGGGUGAGUAACACGUGGAUAACCUACCUAUAAGACUGGGAUAACUUCGGGAAACCGGAGCUAAUACCGGAUAAUAUAUUUAACCGCAUGGUUCAAUAGUGAAAGACGCUUUUGCUGUCACUUAUAGAUGGAUCCGCGCCGCAUUAGCUAGUUGGUAAGGUAACGGCUUACCAAGGCAACGAUGCGUAGCCGACCUGAGAGGGUGAUCGGCCACACUGGAACUGAGACACGGUCCAGACUCCUACGGGAGGCAGCAGUAGGGAAUCUUCCGCAAUGGGCGAAAGCCUGACGGAGCAACGCCGCGUGAGUGAUGAAGGUCUUCGGAUCGUAAAACUCUGUUAUUAGGGAAGAACAAAUGUGUAAGUAACUAUGCACGUCUUGACGGUACCUAAUCAGAAAGCCACGGCUAACUACGUG